CUUUACCGACCGAUCCCUUUUUCUUUCAUCGAUUCUAUCGCAUCUUUGUUCGAAUACGUAAUCUCUUUCAUAACCUAUACAAUUUAGAGUCUCAUUAAGGUAAAACGCAACGAUAACUAUUUUUUACUAUUAAACCUUUUAUUCUUUGCGUAUUUGUUAUUGUAUAAUCAAAUAUUAUUUCAAUGCAUCGAUUGGAACUAACGUAAUAUCUUGCAAAUCAAGAAUAAUGUAUUCGCAUGUAAUUCAAUACAAAUUGAAAAAUGUGAAUCUACAUAUAAUGGUAUUAAAUCUUAAUUACUCUUACGUUGAUUCGUGUAAAUUUUGAAAACUUAAGGCUGUUGUUCGUCACCUUUCGUCCAUAACAUAUGUGACUUCAGCGACACUUGUGGACGAAAUAUGAACUACAAGUGCAAUAGGGAAAACUCUCUGUCCUCCCUCCUCCCCUCGCCAUUAUGCACUUAUGCAUCGGUGUAAGUAAGCUUGUGUAGGUUAAUUAUGUCCCGCUGCUCACCCAUAACCUAACAAUUGAGUUAGUGCGUGACAGAAAUUUUUUUUAUCUAAUAAAAAUAGUAAUAGAUCUGACAAAACAAAGAGAAGAGAUUAAUUGAAAAGUCUUUGUCAAUUUUGUAUGGAUUUUAUAUUUUUCAUUUCUAAGUUAAAGUUACAGAUUAAUGGUCAUUUAAACGACAAUAUUAACUCGAUAUUAUGUGCAAUAGAAUGUACAAUAUAUAAAAGAUAAUAGCAAGAAUAAUAAUAAAAAGAAAAUCAAUAAAUAUGUAUCUUGUAUUCUGAAAUACAUGGAUAUAAUACUGAACA